rnacentral:sRNA from 1 species
GCCGGGCAUGGUGGCACAUGCCUGUAGUUCCAGCUACUCAGGAGGCUGAGGCAGGAGAAUCACUUGAACCAGGGAGGUGGGGGUUGCAGUGAUCCAAGAUCGUGCCACUGCACUCCAGCCCUGGUGACAGAGUGAGACUCUGUCUCAA